AUGACUUUAAGUCGCGUCUGGCCCGCCACAGCGGCACCCAGUCCACUACAGCGUCCCCGCUAGAGCGACCAAAAGUUCCGCUAAGGCGGGUUGCACGAGACAAAGAGUUAUUU